GUCCACGCGGUAAACGAUGUCAACUAGCCGUUGGAAGGUAAUCCUUUAGUGGCGCAGCUAACGCACUAAGUUGACCGCCUGGGGAGUACGGUCGCAAGAUUAAACUCAAAUGAAUUGACGGGCCGGCACAAGCGGUGGAGCAUGUGGUUUAAUUCGACGCAACGCGAAGAACCUUACCUACUCUUGACAUCCAGAGAACUUGGCAGAGAUGCCUUGGUGCCUUCGGGAGCUCUGAGACAGGUGCUGCAUGGCUGUCGU
rnacentral:rRNA from 1 species